UAAAGUGCCAAGUGGAAAAGAUGAACAGU
rnacentral:piRNA from 1 species